AACUCAUCAAAACACACACAAGAAUAAAAGAAUCGUUCUGGGAGAAGAAAGAACCGGUCUGCUCGUCACCAGCACCGUUCACCUGCAUCUGCUAUAAAAAGUACGUUCUAGGAGAUGAAAGAACUGUUUGUCACCUCUGUCGGCAUCAAUUGGUCAUCUUAGAUUUUCUUCUCAAGCGAAAGCGACAAGGCUAUGACAUAUAUGGUUGACAUGGAACUUCAAAAAUCAUACACAACAACACUCAACUGUUGGAGUUUCAAUUGAAAACACCUUGUAUCUUUGUGGACUUAAUAUUGCACAUAUUUACAAUUGAGAAAACGCGAAUGCUUUGAUAUGUGGACCCGAGAAAUGGUGGAACGCACUUGGAAGAUUUUUUAGGCAGCCAAAUUUAAUUAUAUGGGACAAUGGUGACCUGGUAACUCAUGAGUCAUGGGUGGUCUCAAGAAUGUAUAUGCCAUUGGAGCUGGUACAAUCCUUUCUCUUUCUGAUGCAAUGAUUGACUUUGGUUAUUACAUCUGUAAAAUAUUUAUAGUGCAUAAAUUUUUACUAUUGGCUUAUCGAGUUGACUCUGGAGUUGACUGAGUGUGCACUCAGAUCAUCUCCUUAUUUCCACAAUUGGUGUUUUUUUCUUCCUCUUAUGUUAGGCUACUGCGCUUUCAGCAGUGUGGUGGUGAUGAAAUGCAGCUUCCCACAGUUUAAGCAUUGUGACAUCUUUAGUCAAAUACUCAAACUCACAUGAUCAUUUCAGAUUCUCGGGGAAAUGAAGAACCAGAUUCCUGAGUUUCUUGUCCAUUUGAGAUCAAAGUAAUUCCCAGAGAAUUCUCAGUCCUUUAAAUUGAUAACUAGAUGGUGCCAUUGUGUUAGUCAAAAUUAGUAGUAAAUGAUAUAAAAUGAAAAUUGUUGCUUUGAAGCAUCACUUUGGGAGUUCUCUUCAAAAAAUGCUGCCAAAUUGGUUUCUGUGGUUUGCUAUUUAGUUUUGUUUUUAUGAAGUUUUGGUAUCUAUCAGUGGUUUUCUACUUUUCCC